rnacentral:rRNA from 1 species
AUGAAUAAAAAUGCUAGCCCUGGCCCGGACAGUUUUGGCCCUGGGUUCUACAGGAAAUUUUGGCAUAUUCUCAAAGGUAAAAUCCGCAACUUCUUCGCUGAUUUUCAUGCCCUGCGUUCGGACAUCUCCUGCCUCAACCGAGCCCUCAUUAUUCUUCUCCCGAAGAAUAAUGACGCCAGGUCCCCAAAUGACUUUCGCCCCAUCUCCCUCCAAAAUUGCCCUAUCAAAGGUGUUGCCAAACUCCUUACCAACAGACUUAAAGCUCAUAUCCCUCUUCUGGUCCACGCCGACCAAACUGGCUUCCUGUCUGGUCGCAAUAUCUCUGAAAACUUCCUCUACGCCGCUGACAUUCUUCACUGCUGCGCCAAGAAAAAGGCUCCAGCCAUCGUCGUCAAGCUGGACUUUCGGAAAGCGUUCGACUCAAUCUGUUGGUCCUCCCUCCUCCACACCUUACAGGUUAGGGGCUUCCCACCUCGCUGGUGUGACUGGAUCUGAUCUCUGCUUACCACUGGAUCCACCGCUGUUAUGCUUAAUGGCAUCCCAGGGAAGUGGAUCCAAUGCAAGAACGGACUCCGGCAAGGUGACCCCCUAUCACCUUACAUGUUCAUCAUUAUGGCCGACAUUCUACAACAAAUGAUCAUUAAUGCUCACAAGGAUGGUACUCUUUUACACCCCCUGUGUCCCCACCUCCCGUGCCCUGUUCUGCAAUAUGCGGACGUCACUCUAAUCAUCGUUAAAGCUACCACGAAUGCAGCCAAGCACCUCAAACACAUCCUAGACGCCUUUGCCGCAGCCACUGGCCUACAAAUCAACUUCACCAAAACGACAUUCAUCCCCCUUAAUGUGGAUCCGCAGGAUGCCGCUCUAAUGGCCUCUGACCUUGGAACGAACAUCUCCUCCUUUCCUCAAACCUACCUAGGACUACCCCUCUCCCCGCAUAAGUUGCCGCCCUCUGCAUUCCAGCCUGUCAUCGACCGAUGCGACACCUAUCUGGCUGGCUGGUGUGCCCUACUCCUCUCGCGUGGUGGCAAAUUAGUUCUCCUCUCUGCCGUCCUAGAUAGUCUCCCCACGUAUUUUAUGCUUUGUUUUUCUCUGCCCGUCCAGGUUAUUGAAGCAAUUGAUAAACGUAGACGCACUUUCUUCUAG